rnacentral:rRNA from 1 species
UACAGAGGUCUCAAGCGUUGUUCGGAUUCAUUGGGCGUAAAGGGUGCGUAGGCGGCCUUGUAAGUCAGUGCUGAAAUAUCCCGGCUUAACCGGGAGGGUGGCAUUGAUACUGAUGGACUUGAGUGGAGUUGAGGUAGGCGGAAUUGACGGUGUAGCGGUGAAAUGCUUAGAUAUCGUCAAGAACACCGAUAGCGAAGGCAGCUUACCAAGCUCUAACUGACACUGAUGCACGAAAGUGUGGGGAUCAAACAGG